UUUUUUUCAAAAAUUUUUUUUUUCUUUCUUUGAGGAUCCUCAAUGCAGGUUUAAAUUGACCUUUCAACAAAUUACUAGCCUGUGUUAUUGCCGUGGAUCAAUGCUAGAACUGCCAUCUAGUCAAUUUAUCCUACCAGUCACUCUCUCAACCACACAAACUCCAGCGCUUUUUAUUUUUCGCAUGGCUCUGACA